rnacentral:lncRNA from 1 species
UGAUUUCUCCUUUUUUUUCAUUAUUGUUGAGUCUUGAAUUACUAAGCUUUGUUCCAGACUCAAAAUUGCAAUCUCUUCUCUCCCUGACAGGUCUCAGAUGUAAUCACACAAAAGAAAUCUCCAAGCCAUACCAAUUUUAGAAGGAGCUAUUUUACUGGACAGUUCCCCAGUGACCCUACACAGAGAGCAAAAACAAGUUGGAAAAGGCACUUUCUGCUGUUCUGAAGGAGGAAGAAAGCUCUUAAGGGUUGUUUUUUGGAACUCACUUCCAAGGAAAAAGUUUCCUUACAGAAAUGGUGAAAGGUUAUGAGGGCUUUCCUAGUUUUGAGAAGAACUAAUCAGAAUUUUUUCCCAUGCAAAACUUCAGCUUUUCAUCAAAACCUUAAAAUCUGUGGCUAAAAUCCAACAGUUUCUACCAGGAAAAUACAUCUCGGAAACUGGGAAGCCACACUGGGGGCUGGACUGUGAGACAGCAUCUCUCGUGCUGGGAAGCAGAAAUCCAGAAAAGAAAGAAAGGUCUGAGUUGAAGGAGACUCUUUCCUGGGAGAGACCAACAAACUCUAGAUACUGACAUGGUCAAACUGAAGAAGUUAGCCUUCUUCAGUUUAUGAAUUAUCCACAAAUACAUUGGAUUUUUCACAACUAUCCUAACGAUCUCCAAUUGUUGAAUACUUCUUGCGAACAGAUUUUAACUGAGCCAAUGUGCCUCUGAUAAAUCUAAGCCUAUUUUGUGUGAGUAGCACUGCACAGAAAUUACUUUUAUUUGAUGGUG